rnacentral:lncRNA from 1 species
UUUCUCUAAUAAAGGUGGAGCCUACCAAUACAAUGGUUCUCACUCUCUAUUAAAGAGAUGAUACAUAAAUUAAUAUAUAAAGUUGAUCUCCCUAACAUUUUUCGAUAAGGAAUUCUAAAACAAAUAGUACCUUUUUUUUUUUUUUUUUUCUUUCUAUGUUUUCAUGUGGAACAUAAUUUCAUAAUGUUGUGGUCACAUAUAUGAUGUAGAAUAUAUGCCAGAGAUAAUUGAGGUGCAACUUGAUAGGCGUAAUUAGCUCAUAAACAACAAAAUGCAAUCUUUGCACAUGUAUGGGCUCUGAGUUUCAAUUUGGACCCAUAACGGAUGUUUAAAAGAGAAUUGCAAAACAAGUCAAACACAUCAUGC